CCCCCGAUCUGGUGGUCAUUGGAUAGCGCGUCGGCCUCCGGAGCCGAAGGUUACAGGUUCGAAUCCUGUCGGGGAU
rnacentral:tRNA from 1 species